rfam:Camelus ferus unplaced genomic scaffold scaffold1443, whole genome shotgun sequence.
GGAGGGAUUAGCUCAACUGGCAGAGCACAUGCUUAGCAUGCAUGAGGCCCUGGGUUCAACCCCCAGUACCUCCU